rnacentral:rRNA from 1 species
AGCAGCCGCGGUAAUUCCAGCUCCAAUAGCGUAUAUUAAAGUUGUUGCAGUUAAAAAGCUCGUAGUUGAAUUUCGGGGUUAGCAAGUUGGUCGUGCCUUUGGUAUGCACUGGCUUUGCUGAUUCCUCCUUCUUGAAGAACUGUGAUGCUAUUAAUUUGGUGUUGCAGGGAAACAGGACUGUUACUUUGAAAAAUUAGAGUGUUUAAAGCAGGCUAACGCUUGAAUACAUUAGCAUGGAAUAAUGAAAUAGGACGUUUGAUCCUAUUUUGUUGGUUUCUAGGAUUGACGUAAUGAUUAAUAGGGAUAGUUGGGGGCAUUAGUAUUCAAUUGUCAGAGGUGAAAUUCUUGGAUUUAUUGAAGACUAACUACUGCGAAAGCAUUUGCCAAGGAUGUUUUCAUUAAUCAAGAACGAAAGUUAGGGGAUCGAAGACGAUCAGAUACCGUCGUAGUCUUAACCAUAAACUAUGCCGACUAGGGAUCGGAUGAUGUUAAUUUUUAAUGA